AACACCUUGAUUUCUGACUUGUGACCUCCAGAACUGAGAGACAAUGGGUUUCUGUUGCAAGAUACCCAGUUUGUGGAUAUUUAUUAGGACAACCCAAGGAAACUAACAUAAGCUUCCUCUCUGCCCUUAAGUUGCCCAAAGUCCAGGAGGAGAAGUGGCCACAUAGGUAGGGAAGUACUUGUCUUGAAAAGCCCACAGAUUGGGAGUUGUCAAUGGCUUUCCAGCUUUGGUAUUUCCUCGGGAACACAUUUAGGGAAGAGGAAAGCCGCCACAUGUGAGUGAGCAUUGAUGUGAAUUGAGCCUGAUGUGAAUUGAGCAUUCCUCAAUUCACAGCAGGCUGUCAAGUGCUGGGGCCACUGCUGUGGGCUUCUCCUUGGACAUUGGCAUAGUUUAUAAUUAAUUACAGCCCCUUUACCCAAAGAAUCCACUUUAGAAAUAAAAUAAAAUAAGCUGUUUAUAUUGCAUUCUCUGUUUACUGUGAAUUUUUCUUUCUUCCCUUCUCUCUGUUUCUAGCCUUCUGAGAACUCGGUGUGGAUCUUUGUGUGCAAAAUUCUAAUUACUGUUCCCAAGACUGGCACAUCUCUUUUUCAGGUUCAGACGGAGGGAAGGGUCUGUGAAGGAUAGUGAAGUGGUGGGAGGUGCCACACACUUUUAAAUGACCAGAUCUUUUGAGAACUCACUCACUAUUGCAAAGUUGGCACCCAGCCAUGAGGGGUCCACUCCCAUGAUCCAAACACCUCCCAUCAAGCCCGCCUCCAGCACUGGGGAUUAUAAUUCAACAUGAGAUGUGGGCAGGGACAAAUAUGCAAACCAUAUCACUUGGGUGAGCCAAUAAACUUUCUCUUUUGUUUAAGGCAGUUUGGAUUGGGUUGAUGAUAUGGUUUGGCUGUGUCCCCACCCAAAUCUCAUCUUGAAUUGUAGCUCCCGUAAUUCCCAAAUGUCAUGGGAGGGACCCAGUGGGAGGUAAUUGAAUCAUGGGGGUGGGUCUUUCUCAUGCUGUUCUCCUAAUAGUAAAUAAGUCUCAUGAGGCCUGAGGGUUUUAUAAAGGUGAGUUCCUCUGCACAUGCUCUCUUGCCUGCCACAUGUAAGAUAUGACUUUUCUCCUCCUUUGCCUGCUGCCAUGAUUGUGAGGUCUCCCUAGCCACGUGAACUGUGAGUCCAUUAAACCUCUUUCCUUUAUAAAUAACCCAGUCUCGGGUAUGUCUUUAUUUGCAGCGUGAGAACUGAUGGAUACCAUUGGAUUUCUAUCACAAAAACCCCCAUUCUUAUUGGUGCCAGAGCCUUCUGGGCAGAAAAUUUGGGAAUGGACUUUUAUAGGAUCAUUCCAAGCUGAGGCAAGGGGCACAGCAGAGCGAAGGCCAGGAGGCCCCUGUGGCUGGGGCGCAGGCAGAGGGAAGGCAAGUGCACUGAUUUGCUGGGGCUGCCUUAAGAAAUCAUCACAAGCAGCCAGGCGCGGUGGCUCAUGCCUGUAAUCCCAGCACUUUGGGAGGCUGGGGCGGGCAGAUCACAAGGUCAGGAGAUCGAGACUAUCCUGGCCAACAUGGUGAAACCCCGUCUCUACUAAAACUACAAAAAUUAGCUGGGCAUCGUGGCUCAUGCCUGUAAUCCCAACUACUCAGGAGGCUGAGGCAGGAGAAUCACUUGAACCAGGGAGUCAGAGGUUGCAGUGAACCGAGAUCAUGCCAUUGCACUCCAGCCUGGUGACAGAACGAAACUCUGUCUCAAAAAAAAAAAAAAAAACAAAACCAUCACAAGCUGAAUGGCUCAA
rnacentral:lncRNA from 1 species